rnacentral:rRNA from 1 species
UGCGUAGGCGGCUUUUUAAGUUGGAUGUGAAAUCCCUGAGCUUAACUUAGGAAUUGCAUUUGAUACUGGGAAGCUAGAGUAUGGGAGAGGAUGGUAGAAUUCCAGGUGUAGCGGUGAAAUGCGUAGAGAUCUGGAGGAAUACCGAUGGCGAAGGCAGCUACCUGGACCAACACUGACACUGAGGCACGAAAGCGUGGGGAGCAAACA